AUUCCGGUUGAUCCUGCCGGAGGCCAUUGCUAUCGGAGUCCGAUUUAGCCAUGCUAGUCGCACGAGUUCAGACUCGUGGCAUAUAGCUCAGUAACACGUGGCCAAACUACCCUACAGACCGCAAUAACCUCGGGAAACUGAGGCCAAUAGCGGAUAUAACUCUCAGGCUGGAGUGCCGAGAGUUAGAAACGUUCCGGCGCUGUAGGAUGUGGCUGCGGCCGAUUAGGUAGAUGGUGGGGUAACGGCCCACCAUGCCGAUAAUCGGUACAGGUUGUGAGAGCAAGAGCCUGGAGACGGUAUCUGAGACAAGAUACCGGGCCCUACGGGGCGCAGCAGGCGCGAAACCUUUACACUGCACGACAGUGCGAUAGGGGGACUCCGAGUGUGAGGGCAUAUAGCCCUCGCUUUUCUGUACCGUAAGGUGGUACAGGAACAAGGACUGGGCAAGACCGGUGCCAGCCGCCGCGGUAAUACCGGCAGUCCAAGUGAUGGCCGAUAUUAUUGGGCCUAAAGCGUCCGUAGCUUGCUGUGUAAGUCCAUUGGGAAAUCGACCAGCUCAACUGGUCGGCGUCCGGUGGAAACUACACAGCUUGGGGCCGAGAGACUCAACGGGUACGUCCGGGGUAGGAGUGAAAUCCUGUAAUCCUGGACGGACCACCAAUGGGGAAACCACGUUGAGAGACCGGACCCGACAGUGAGGGACGAAAGCCAGGGUCUCGAACCGGAUUAGAUACCCGGGUAGUCCUGGCUGUAAACAAUGCUCGCUAGGUAUGUCACGCGCCAUGAGCACGUGAUGUGCCGUAGUGAAGACGAUAAGCGAGCCGCCUGGGAAGUACGUCCGCAAGGAUGAAACUUAAAGGAAUUGGCGGGGGAGCACCACAACCGGAGGAGCCUGCGGUUUAAUUGGACUCAACGCCGGACAUCUCACCGGUCCCGACAGUAGUAAUGACAGUCAGGUUGACGACUUUACUCGACGCUACUGAGAGGAGGUGCAUGGCCGCCGUCAGCUCGUACCGUGAGGCGUCCUGUUAAGUCAGGCAACGAGCGAGACCCACACUUCUAGUUGCCAGCAACACCCCUGCGGUGGUUGGGUACACUAGGAGGACUGCCAUUGCUAAAAUGGAGGAAGGAAUGGGCAACGGUAGGUCAGUAUGCCCCGAAUGGACCGGGCAACACGCGGGCUACAAUGG
rnacentral:rRNA from 1 species